rnacentral:rRNA from 1 species
CGGUAAUACGUAGGGUGCAAGCGUUGUCCGGAAUUAUUGGGCGUAAAGAGCUCGUAGGCGGUUUGUCGCGUCGAAUGUGAAAACCCGGGGCUCAACCCCGGGCCUGCAUUCGAUACGGGCAGACUAGAGUUCGGUAGGGGAGUCUGGAAUUCCUGGUGUAGCGGUGAAAUGCGCAGAUAUCAGGAGGAACACCGGUGGCGAAGGCGGGACUCUGGGCCGAUACUGACGCUGAGGAGCGAAAGCGUGGGGAGCGAACAGG